rnacentral:rRNA from 1 species
CCUACGGGUGGCAGCAGUAGGGAAUAUUCCACAAUGGGCGAAAGCCUGAUGGAGCAAAGCCGCGUGGGUGAAGAAGGUCCUCGGAUCGUAAAACCCUGUUGUUAGAGAAGAAAGUGCGUGAGCGUGACUGUUCACGUUUCGACGGUAUCUAACCAGAACGCCAAGGCUAACUACGUGCCAGCAGCCGCGGUAAUACGUAGGUGGCAAGCGUUAUCCGGAUUUAUUGGGCGUAAAGGGAACGCGGGCGGGCUUUGAAGUCUGAUGUGAAAGCCUUCGGCUUAACCGUAGUAGUGCGUUGGAAACUGGGAGACGUGAGUGCAGAAGAGGAGAGUGGAACUCGAGGUGUAGCGGUGAAAUGCGUAGAUAUAAGGAAGAACACCAGUGGCGAAGGCGGCUCUCUGGUCUGUAACUGACGCUGAGGUUCGAAAGCGUGGGUAGCAAACAGGAUUAGAUACCCCGGUAGUC